UUUGUUUAUGUGGAUGCAUGAGACAAAGACACCAAGAAAGCCAACCCAUUCCCUUGAGGGUCGAGCUUCGCUGCCAAGGAAUCAGGCGACAGGUCAAAAGCAAGCUCAAUUUCACAAAAGCACAUGUAUAGAAAAGAUUAGAGAUUAGUUGUACCAGUAUAAUAUUUUUGUCUGAAGAAGCUUUCAAGAUCUUGUCUUGUCGGUGCCUGUCUACUUCUGAAUCCCAUGAUUUGAAGCUUCUUCAUGUUAUAAAACUCUACUACUUACUCCAUCCAACCUAGUUGACAGCUAACAGCUAAACUUUCUCCACUCAAUGAGAUCCCUACGAUUUGCCAUCUUUCUGAUUUUCUUCUUCUACUUUGCUCUAGUAGCGCAUGGACGUGCAACAUCCAAUGGAAUAGUGGUAGGUUCCAUUAAAUCCUUCGAUUUGGGAAGAUCCGGGUGUCAAAAAGUUAACGUAGAAUGCGAGAAGGUUGACGGCAGAAAAGAGAAUGUUUUCGAACAUGAAGACUAUGUGUACACUCAAUCUCUUCCUUAACUAUGUUUCCUACUUCAAAUGCCUGAGAUAAAGGGGAAAUCAAAACCUGUCUCUUUAGCUAGUUAUUCAAGUACCUGCAGCAAUUUACAAGUCAAUUCGAAGCUCCGAACUUCUUUCCUUUGAGAAAACUGCAAGUCCUCUGAAGAUGACGUUUCUGGCUAAGUAAUAAAUUUUGCCUUUGUAUUUGAAAGAAUAAAGGGAAGGUCUUGGUGUGCAAAUGGUAGAUGUUAAGUGCAAAGAAGGAUGGAUUAAAAUAACAUGUUUCAAACAUGAAGAAGGCUGUCUAUAGUCAGCAAUUCUCUUCGGUUGUGGAUAGUCUCAUAACUCAUGCCUUGUAAAUGAUCUAUUUUGACGAGAAAUAUUACACUGCAAACAGCAAGGAUAUACCUUUUAUAAGUAAUGGUAGUUCACAACGAA